AUACGUAGGGUGCGAGCGUUGUCCGGAAUUACUGGGCGUAAAGAGCUCGUAGGUGGUUUGCCGCGUCGUCUGUGAAAUUCCGGGGCUUAACUCCGGGCGUGCAGGCGAUACGGGCAUAACUUGAGUACUGUAGGGGAGACUGGAAUUCCUGGUGUAGCGGUGAAAUGCGCAGAUAUCAGGAGGAACACCGGUGGCGAAGGCGGGUCUCUGGGCAGUAACUGACGCUGAGGAGCGAAAGCAUGGGUAGCGAACAGGAUUAGAUACCCUGGUAGUCCAUGCCGUAAACGGUGGGCGCUAGGUGUAGGGGUCUUCCACGACUUCUGUGCCGUAGCUAACGCAUUAAGCGCCCCGCCUGGGGAGUACGGCCGCAAGGCUAAAACUCAAAUGAAUUGACGGGG
rnacentral:rRNA from 1 species